UACGGAGGGUGCGAGCGUUGUCCGGAAUCACUGGGCGUAAAGGGCGCGUAGGCGGCCUGGUAAGUAGGGGGUGAAAUCCUGCGGCUUAACCGCAGGGCUGCCUUCUAAACUGUCAGGCUCGAGCACGGUAGAGGCAGAUGGAAUUCCCGGUGUAGCGGUGGAAUGCGUAGAGAUCGGGAAGAACAUCAGUGGCGAAGGCGGUCUGCUGGGCCGUUGCUGACGCUGAGACGCGACAGCGUGGGGAGCAAACAGG
rnacentral:rRNA from 1 species